rnacentral:misc_RNA from 1 species
GAUGAAGAACGUAGCGAAAUGCGAUAAGUAAUGUGAAUUGCAGAAUUCAGUGAAUCAUCGAAUCUUUGAACGCAUCUUACGCUCCUUGGUAUUCUGAGGAGCAUGCCUGUUUGAGUGUCAUUAAAUUCUCAACUACACUGACUUUGAAUUGGUGUGGCUUGGAUUUGGGGGGAAAAUUGUUGUGGGCUUUUUGUAUAGUCUGCUCCCCUGAAAUUGAUUAGCGGUACCUUUGUGGAACUGUCUACAGGUGUGAUAAUUAUCUACAUCUUAGACAUCUGCUGGAAUGCUGCUUUCUAAACCUUACUUGUAUUGACAAUCUUGACCUCAAAUCAGGUAGGACUACCCGCUGAACUUAAGCAUAUCAAUAAGCGGAGGA